rnacentral:rRNA from 1 species
GUCUAUGGCCAUACCACCCUGAACACGCCCAAUCUCUCUGAUCUUGGAAGCUAAGCAGGGUCGGGCCUGGUUAGUACUUGGAUGGGAGAAGGAGGGAAGGAAGGGAGAUAGACU